rnacentral:rRNA from 1 species
AUUUUCCGUGAAUCAUCGAAUCUUUGAACGCACCUUGCGCUCCUUGGUAUUCCGAGGAGCAUGCCUGUUUGAGUGUCAUCGAAACAUCAGAUCGAAGCUUUCGACCUCGUCGGAGCUCGGUUUGGACUCAUGGGAGUCUGCGGGCGAACCUCCCGUCGGGGGGACGUCGGCUCUCCUCAAAAGCAUUAGCGUUGGGUGCGAGCCUCGCGUGGCACGGCCUCUUCGACGUCAUAAUGACCGUCGUGGGCUGGAAGUGCGUGGAUCGUAGAUGCCCGUCGCUCUCCAACUCUGCGAGCCUGGUCCGUCCGGCCGCGUGUUAUCGAAGCUUGACCUCAAAUCAGGUAGGACUACCCGCUGAACUUAAGCAUAUCAAUAAGCGGAGGAAAAGAAACUAACGAGGAUUCCCCUAGUAACUGCGAGUGAAGCGGGAAGAGCUCAAAUUUCGAAUCUGGCGGCCCUCGGUCGUCCGAGUUGUAAUCUAGAGAAGCGUCUUCCGCGCUGGACCGUGUACAAGUCUCCUGGAAGGGAGCAUCGUAGAGGGUGACAAUCCCGUCUCUGACACGGAACCCCCAGGGCUAUGUGAUGCGCUCUCGACGAGUCGAGUUGUUUGGGAAUGCAGCUCAAAUCGGGUGGUAAACUCCAUCUAAAGCUAAAUAUUGGCGAGAGACCGAUAGCGAACAAGUACCGUGAGGGAAAGAUGAAAAGCACUUUGGAAAGAGAGUUAAACAGUACGUGAAAUUGCUGGAAGGGAAACGCUUGAUGUCAGUCGCGUCGACCGGGGAUCAACCUUGCUUCUAGCUGGGCGUAUUUCCCGGUAGACGGGUCAGCAUCGAUUUCGGCCGUCGUAGAAGGGCGGGAGCGAACGUGGCACUCUCCGGAGUGUGUUAUAGCCUCCCGUACGGAUGCGAUGGCCGGGAUCGAGGAACUCGGCACGACCCCUCGAGGGUUCGGGACUUCGGUCCACGUAGCGUGCCCAGG